UUUGUGAAUUGAUUCUUAAAAAGAAUGACUAGAGCUUUGUUUCUAACCAUUGGCGGCAUACAGGUGUUACCUGGGGGAGCUCUGAAAGCACAGAUGCCUGGGUCCUCUCCUUCCCCCUUGGAAACUGCCCCAGAGAUCCUGAUGCAAGGAACCUUGGAGGCAGUGAGGGAAUCAAGGCUUUUAAAAAUUCCCCAAGUGAUUCUACUGUAUAACCAAGAUCAAGAAUGAGCUUUGCGCCCGUGUUUUGUCGGUGAAUGGAUCCAUUUUGGAGACCACCACUCUAGACAGUUCCUACUGCUCCUGUUACCUGUACCAAGAGCUCUUUUCUCCUUUAUUUCACAAAGAACUUCUUAAGAUCCUAAGAAAUGCAGCCUCAAUUAGAGCUCCGCAAUGCACUCUAGAAGGGAACUCAUCUGGAUUCCCUUCACCGGGUAGAAAGUGCAGCCCUCAGCCAGAAACACUACCUCUGAUGCCAAGGAUCCCACACAGCAUCCAGACUAUUCAGUCCACCGACUCUCUACUAUUUAUCUUAAAUCGAUGCCAGUCCACUGCGGCCUGGGUGGUCCAAGCUUGCGUUGCAGGCAGCUGCAGAGGUUCCAGCAGGCUGGAAGCCUCUGACGCAACCUUCCUUGUGAGGACUGAUUGGCCAAGAGCUGGCAGCCAGCCACGGGUGGUGUUUUUUUUUUUUUUUUUUUUUUUUUCUUUGCAGUGUUUGCACUUUUAUGUUUAA
rnacentral:lncRNA from 12 species